CUCUGGCACAUGCAUACCCUCUCCUAUAUGGAUUUCCAUAUCUGGCGUGGACCUUUUUGGUAGGCUAUGAUUGUAUAUCCUCCCCGUGAACACAGAGACAUUGAUCUCCAUAUACAGCAUUCUCCCCUUGUUUUUGGCGUACUUUCACACUGAGACAGGACUCUAUCUACAGAUCUUAUUGACUACAUGUAUUUCUCUGACACAAUGAUCGUCUGUAAUACCCCUUGAAGAAGGAUCACAGAUACCGAAACGGCUGUCGGGUUGGACCAAUUUUUGUCUCAUGUCUGUUUUAUUGCUUUACAAAUAGGAUCUGUAUACCACUUGCAUGUGGUCUUUUAUCCUUGCUAGGACACUGUAUGAUGUCCUGACUUAAAUUGUUUAAAUAAAUUUGCUAUAUAUUUUUCUACUCAUUCACGUGUUUGUGUCACUUAUAAAGUCCCACCCUUGAGGGGGUAUUUCAUGUUUUUUCCAUAACUCUAGGGAUGUGGUGACUUACAAACACUGACAUUCUACUGAUUGUGGGGUCCCUCUUUUUCUUUUUUUUAACAGAUAUGGUGCGGUCGGCUUUCAAGUUGCCUCUACCUGAACCUCAGGCUUCCGCUGUAUCCUCUUUAGGUUCCUUGAAGGCACACCAAACCAACUUGGUGUUUCCGGUACAUCCUUUAUUAAAGGACUUGAUUUUCCAGGACUGGGCUAAACCAGACAGGAUAUUUCUUCCUCCUAAAAGGUUUUCAGUCCUGUACCCCUUGGAGGAGGAGUUUUCUAAAAAGUGGGUAGUCCCUACAGUGGACGCGGCCAUUUCAUGUGUUCAGGACAUAUGCCAGAGGUGGGGGUCUCCGGAGGUAGACGUCAUGGCGUCCAGGUUCAACACGAUGGUAGUCAAGUUUGUGUCUCGAACGAGGGAUCCAUUG